UUUCCUAGUUUAUUUAUUCAUGCAUUUUUCUAAAUUAAAAAAGACAUUUAAUGUUAGAAAUGAUAUUUAAAUGUUUGCUUUAACUCUCACAUGACCACAAAUGUGUUCAAAUUAUUUUUUAAUUGAGUUGUUUUUCAGUGUCUCCGCUUUCUGGAUUUCCUGCUGUGAUUCCUAAUUGUUCACACCUGAGUUCACAGGUGGCUCAGGUGUUUUCAGUCAGAUCGUUAUUCCUCAGGUCCAUAUAGAUCUCUGGUUUCAGAUACUCACACCUGAGGUUAUCAAAUGUUGGUAGAAAUGUGUUUAUGAUUUUUUUGUUGUUUUGCGUUUGGUCCCUCAGGUUAAUUGCUUUAUUUUUUAUUCAAAUGUAUUUUCAGUUUUUCUCCCCAAACUGCAUUUAGGAAUAUACAUUUUGAGAGAUUUGCAAGUCUUGUUGCUUUAGGCUGUUUUGUUUGGUUAAAAUAAAUUAACUAGAAAAAAAUAAAAUUAAAGAUAAAAUGUAUAAAACUCCUACGAUUGAAACCAACUUCAAAGAAAUGGGAAUAAAGUCAUUUUUUUUCUCAAAUUCCUAUAUUUUAAUCAAAGUUAUUUACUGAUAUAAAUCUCUAAAGUUUCUUUUUUUCCAUCAGAGAAGUUGCUGCCAAAGGGUUAAAAGCGACGAGCUCCGGGACAGAGGAGGAGGAUGCUCCAUCUGUUGCGUCUCCAAACAGCUGCUCUCCACCUCUGUGCACGCACGGACCUGAGGCGCCGGCGCUCCAGAUGGCAGCGCUUCAACAGGAGAAGUGUCCGUGCACGCACACACGCACGAGCGGGCCAGAUGGAUGCUGGGACACGCAAACGUUAUUAAAGGAGCCCGCCUCCUCCAGACCUCA